UACGAAGGGGGCUAGCGUUGCUCGGAAUUACUGGGCGUAAAGGGCGCGUAGGCGGACAUUUAAGUUAGAGGUGAAAGCCCAGGGCUCAACCCUGGAAUAGCCUUUAAUACUGGAUGUCUUGAGUUCGGGAGAGGUGAGUGGAAUGCCGAGUGUAGAGGUGAAAUUCGUAGAUAUUCGGCGGAACACCAGUGGCGAAGGCGGCGAUCUGGGUCGAUACUGACGCUGAGGUGCGAAAGCGUGGGGAGCAAACAGG
rnacentral:rRNA from 1 species